UUUAUUAAGGGGGAAGUGCUAAGCGAUUGUGCUUUAUAAACUGCUACAUAAAGUGUGACAGUGGACAAGAUAUUCGCAUGCUUUUUACAAGUGGCAGCAGUUCUCCUGUCCGGUCUGCUGUCACUGGACCACCCUAUAUGUAGGUUUCCCUCAACAACCCCAUGUCUUGUUGGCUAGCUCUGGGUCUCUUAUUUGGCUUCUCAAACCUGGUGUCAUCCCUAUUGGAGUCAAUAAGGGUCUAGCACAAAAGGGCUAGAAGCAGAGAUCCUCUGUGAUGCUUUACAGAUUUUCUUAUCUCUGUAGCUUCAGGCAGAUGUGGCUGAGAAUCCACGUCAUUUAAAUAUACCAACCACCAGGUCUCUUUUUACUAAGAUUGGAGACAGGUUGAAAAGAAUUUGGCUUCUGAUGACUGGGGUGAGAUAUUUGGACAAACACAGGCAAGGCUGGUGGCUUUGAAUCCCCAGAUAUCUCUGAAUUACUUUCACAGAAAUCUUGAUUGAAUUGUUUUUCCACAGAACAUCACCCUGAUCCAUUACCUUGUGAUGUUAUACUAAUUGGAUCUGAUGAGUGAGCAAAAGCAAGAACCUCAAAUGCCUUAAUAAGUUACGUGUGUUGGAGAGAGAAAAAUAAAGCCAGGAAAGUUUCGGGGCCCUGCUCCAUGGGGAAGUUUCUAUGAGACCAGUGUUCUGGAGCAUAUUGUAAUAUUCCUGCUAAAGAAGAGAGACAUAUUGCCAAACCAUAGGCUUCCCACCUUGAAGAAAGAGAAACAACACCAGCACUCUCUCCACAACACCCUCUGCCCUUCCACUGGCUAACUCCUACAAGAGCCUCUGGUGCCAGCCUUUACACCUUCUGGGGAGCAUUUCCUGACCUUCUCCCCCAACUCAUCCUACCCACAGGACUCAGGUAGGGGAUUCUGCACCUAAAAGCUCUGUAUGCGUAGGGUGUAUUCUCUGAUUUCAGUACAUCUGUGGAGCCUAUUGCUCCCCAGGUGCGAAGGAGUACAUAAAUAAUGAAAAUAAAUGACCCCAGACCAUACAGCUGGGGUUGGAGCUGAGCUCUGACUCAACCUCUAAACCCCUUGAGCUCUCUACUACCCCAUGUGGCCUCUAGGUCUCCUACUAAAUCACCCAAAGUAAAAAGAGUACAAAGCAGAGGUUGUGACAUAUAAUUAUCAAGAUUAUUUAGGGCAAAAAGUGCAUCUUUUUACAAAUAUAAUCAUAUUAGCAUCACCAUACGGAGAGUUUCAACACCUUCAAGUGAAGAGUGGGAAGAGAUACAUCAGAAAGAAAAGGUGUCCUUAGAAUAAAAUAGUUGUAAGGAAAUGGUAGUUAGACACAUCAGUGCUUUAAAAUAAAGUUCAAAUAUAUGUAUAUCCCAUUCUUCUCUUGUUUAAAACAAAACUGUGAUUUUCACUUUCUUUAAUUACUUAAAUUUUUAGAUUUGUUUUCAGAAAUGAGUGCUUGUUUAGGUGACAGUUGACAUUGUAUUGCUUUUGGCACAA
rnacentral:lncRNA from 1 species